rnacentral:rRNA from 1 species
CUAUAGCUGGGGGAUAACCCCCAGAAAUCGGGGCUAAUACCGCAUAAUGCAGCGGGGCCGCAUGGUCACAGUUGUUAAAGCUUUCGGGCGGCUAUAGAUGGGUCUGCGUGCCAUUAGUUAGUUGGUAGGGUAAUGUCCUACCAAGGCGAUGAUGGCUAGGGGGUCUGAGAGGAUGAUCCCCCACACUGGGACUGAGACACGGCCCACACUCCUACGGGAGGCAGCAGUGAGGAAUCUUGCGCAAUGGAGGAAACUCUGACGCAGCCACGCCGCGUGCCGGAAGACGGCCCUAUGGGUUGUAAACGGCUUUUAUUUGGGAAGAAGGAUAGGGUUUUGAUCUUAUUUGACGGUACCGAUUGAAUAAGCACCGGCUAACAUCCAUACAAGCAGC